CUCAGGCGAGAUAGGUCUUUACUGGACAGAGUGGUGCAAAAGGAACGCUAAUCCUCCACCUCCACCUCUGGAGCGAUCCUUCCUCAGUACGUUGUAUCCAUCACAACUUUGAAGCCUGCAGGUGGUACUCAGCUUCGUUUCCUGGGUCGCUGCGACCUUGAUGUUCUUCCGACUCAUAAAGCUUACAAUUUCGUUGAUCUUACCUCUGAGACCAUCACAAUUAAAUUGGAGAAAUGAAGCAUUAUCCGGAACCUGAACAGCAAUGUGUGGCGUCAACUGCUGCGUAGAUUGCUGUUGAGGAGAUUGCGGGGGAGUCUCAUAUUGCGACGACGAUGAGGACGCCGAAGAUGAAGACUCACUGCGGUCUACAUUGACGCAGCAGGAAGCAAUGUAGUCUCUAUCGCUAUACUCCUAUAUCCGGUUUAGGCCGGAACAAUUCCGGAAAUGCACCCACUCCAUGCAUCCGUUGCAUCUCACCGAAACCGAUCUGUGGUGGAUGCGAUUACGACAAACGGAGCAGAACCAAGGUCCGGGGUUGGUCACGAUCCCGGCUCGGACCAAGAGAAUACGGAGCAAACAUCCCGGGUAAUGUUGCUCCCACAUCAGAAAAAUGGACGAACACGAACAUGUAUUUGCUGGGUUGGUGGCCCCUGGUCGGAGAAAUAUGCCUCCGAGUCAAUCCGGUACAUAGAACCGGCCGCCGUGGGAUUGGAGAUUGGAUUAGAGAAGUGAAAUGCGUUAGUGCUUUAGCGUCUUUUUCUAAUUAUACCCUCCACCUUGGAAAGGAGGGUAUAUUAACUUUGUCAUUCCGUUUGUAACAUCCUUAAAUAUUCGUCUUAGACCCCAUAAAGUAUAUAUAUUCAUAAUCAGCAUAAAAUUCUAAGUCGAUUUAACGAUGUCCGUCUGUCUGUCCGUCUGUCUGUCUGUCUGUCUGUCUGUCUGUCUGUCUGUCCGUCUGUCUGUCUGUCUGUCUGUCUGUUGAAAUCACGAUACAGCCCACAUUAUUUGACGUAGAGCUCCAAAAUUUAGCAGAGCUAUUUGCAUUGUGUCUAGGAUGGUUGGUAUUGAAAAUCAGAUAUAUCGGUCCACGUUCUGGUAUAGUCCCCAUAUAACGGUACCUCCCGAUAUUCGGUAUUUUGAUGAUUUAUGCCACGUUUUUCACGGAUUUGUCUUAAAAUUGGUAUUUGUAGGUCAUAGCAGGUCCCUGAGCGUGUGGCAAAACAUUGCAUGUAUGGGUCCAAAAUUUGGUAUAGCCCCCAUAUAACGGUACCUCCAGAUAUUCGGUAAUUUGAUGAUUUUUGCAACAUUUUUUCACGGAUUUGUCUGAAAAUCGGUAUUUGUUGGUCAUAAUGGGUUCCAGCUCCGGUGGCGAAACAUUGCAUGUAUGGGUCCAUGAUUUGGUAUAGCCCUCAUAUAACGGUACCUCCCGAUAUUCGGUAUUUUGAUGGUUUUUGCCACAUUUUUUCACUGAUUUGCCUAAAAAUUGGUAUUUGUGGGUCAUAAUGGGUCCUAGUUCGUGUGGCGAAACAUUUUAAUUAUAGGUCCACGUUUUGGUAUAGCCCCCAUAUAACGGGACCUCCCGAUAUUCGGUAAUUUAAUGAUUUUUGCCACAUUUUUUUCACGGAUUUGUCUGAAAUUUGGUAUUUGUUGGUCAUAAUUGGUUCCAGCUUCGGUGGCGAAACAUUGCAUGCACGGGUCCAUUAUUUGAUAUAGCCCCCAUAUAAAGAUACCUCCCGAUAUUCGGUAUUUUGAUGGUUUUUGCCACAUUUUUUCACUGAUUUGUCUAAAAAUUGGUAUUUGUGGGCCAUAAUGGGUCCUAGUUCGUGUGGCGAAACAUUGUAAUUAUAGGUCCACGUUUUGGUGUAGACCCCAUAUUACGGUACCUCCCCAUAAUCGGCAUUUUAAUGGUUUUUGCCACAUUUCUUCUAAUGUUUAUUUUACCCUAAGGUGGAGGGUAUUAAAAGUUUGGCCCGGCCGAACUUAAUGUUUUUUUACUUGUUUUAGUGUAAUUUUUUAAUUUUUCAUAGAACAAUGCCACGUAAAUACAAAGAUUUUACCACGGCUGAAUAGUUUGAAGUCAAUGAUUUUGAAUGGUCAGUAAGUGAAAUUGGCGAUAUAUCAGAUUUUGACGACGACGACGAUCCCGAUUUCAAUGUAGUGACAAAUGAUGAUGCGAAUAUCACUGAUCAGUUGGAGGAUGAUGUGUUCGAAAAUGUGAACGAAUUAGAUGCUGAACAAGUUGUGAGUGUGGAACCAACUGCUGAUGAGAGUGUUCAAAAUGAAGAUAUUGUUGUUACUGGAGAUAGCAGACGCUGGCAUCAAAUUGCAACAUUUUACAAAGAUAUCACAAUUGACAAGGACUCUUCCGAGUUUAAAAAAUGUAUCUGGAAGAAAAACCAUAUGCAGAAUCAUGCAAGUUGGGUUCAGUUUGGCAGCGAUUCUGAAUUGACAACAGAAAUAAUGGUGCUAGAUACACCUUUCAAAUUUUUUUUUUCUUACUUUGUAAAUGACGAUAUAAUUUCUAAUAUUGUAGACCAAAGCAAUUUGUACGCAAUUCAAAACGAUUCAUCGAAACCUCUAUAUACAACGCCAGACGGAAGAAAACGCUUUUUUGGCAUUACAUAUUUUAUGUCCGUCUUCAAGUAUCCAAGUAUCAGGACGUAUUGGGGUGAAUUUGGCAUACCGACUAUUAUGAAUAUCAUGACGAGAAAUCGAUAUGACAAGGUACGCCUGUUUUUGCAUCUAAAUGGCAAAAGUAAGAUGCCACGUCCGUCAGCUCAAGAACCAGCUCCUUCACGUCGACGAGGAUUGCGUCCACAAAACACUGAUUCAUCAAACAUUGAUCGUUUAUAUAAAAUUCGUCCGCUUAUUGAUGCCCUAAAUCGAAACUUUGACUCUGUUCCAAAAAGAAGUCGUUAGUGUGUGGAUGAACAAAUUUGUGCGACAAAAAUUAAGCACUUUUUGAAACAAUACUUGCCAGACAGGCCUCACCCGUGGGGCAAUAAGUUAUUUUUGAUGUGUGACAAUAUGGGAUUCUGCUAUAAUUUUGAAAUUUAUUCUGGCAAUGAAGACCAUGUUUUGGACAAUGAACCAGACUUGGGAGCAGCAGCAAAUGUUGUGGUGCGGCUUGCUCGUAGAGUUCCGCGUUUCAAGAACUACAGAAUUUUCUUCGAUAACUAUUACACUACUAUUCCUUUGUUCGCUUAUUUACGCACCCAGGGAAUCUAUGGGCUUGAAACAGUUCGACGUAACCGAAUUCCUGGCUGCAAAUUGCCAGAAAAAUUACCCAAUCGAGGAGACUGUGAAGAAUAUAUGACCAGUAUUCAUGGUAUAGAUGUAACUACUAUAGCAUGGAGGGACAACAAAGUUGUAAAUAUGGCAUCGACUUUGCUUGGCAUCAAGUAAUUGAAACCGACAAAUGCAAACGAAACUGAUGACACGCCUACGGUUGCCAGAUUUGACAAAAAAAGUGUACCGUAAAUAUUCAGUGCCCUGCGAUAAUCCACGAGUACAACAAGUACAUGGGAGGUGUUGAUGUUAUGGAUUCGUGCUUUGGUAGAAGCCGCAUAAUAAUAAAGUCACGCAAAUGGACAAAUCGUCUUAUAUACCAUAUGAUGGACAUGGCCAUGAUAAAUGCAUGGAUUUUAUAUAAACGCCAAUUCUCUUCAUCUCAUCGUACAGAUAAAAUGCUGACUUUGCACGAAUUUUUCGUAGACGUCAGCAAAGUUUUAGUAAAAUCUGGCACACAAUCCAUAAGGAAAGGACGUCCAAGAAGCACUGGAGAAUGUGAGACCCCUGAAAAUGUGUCAAAACGAGUUCGGGUAGUAAUGCCGCCUAGUGACGUGCGGUUUGAUAAUGUUGGCCACUUCCCGAAAUACCUAACAACAGGCAAAACUCGUUGUAAAAUGCCCAAUUGCACAUCUAGAACAACAGUGUAUUGCAUUAAAUGUGAGGUAGAAUUAUGUUUCCAAUAACCAAAAAACUUCUUUCUAGAAUAUCAUACAAAACAUUGAAUAAAUGAACUGAGUGCCUGGUGGUUCUUCAAAGAACCAACACACAAAACCUCCCCUAAAAUGUCCAAAACUCAAAAUUGUGAAAAGUCGUAGAACAAUCUUUGUUAAGGGUCCUAAAAUACAACAUAUAAAAUUUUUUCAUUGAGAAAGAAAAAGUCAGGCAAGGGUUAAUGAUGUCCACCUGUCUGUCUAUUGAAAUCACGAUUUGGGAUGAAAUUUGAUAAAGAGCUUUGAAAAUUGGCACAACAUUGUAUUGUGUCUAGGAUGUUUGGUAUUGAAAAUGAUACCGGGAUGUUUCAAUAAGGCAUUACAUUGUGUACGCGGUAGAGCAAACCAUUCACAAAGCAAGACUGCUCUAUCUCCAUAAUCAAUAAAGCUGUGAAGCGGGAAUCCUUUAUUAGGUAAGAUUUAUAGUAUGCUAUAACUAUAAAACGUUGCAGUAAAGCUUAAUUUCUCAUAUCAGUCCUGUCCAUAUCUAUAAAGGCCAACAUUUGUUUCAAUUUCUCUUUUUAGAGUUAAGCAUUUGAAAUUUAAUAAUAUGGAAAUAUUUUAUAUCAAAUCAAUAAAGAACCAUUUGUUAUUACAAUAAUUGAAAGUUUAAGUAAUAAUAUAAAAAUGUAGAUAUGAAUAAUCAAUAAAAAAUCCUCUUUAAUAUACAUAA